rnacentral:rRNA from 1 species
GACGUAGGGGGCAAGCGUUGUCCGGAAUUAUUGGGCGUAAAGCGCACGUAGGCGGCUUUUUAAGUCAGGGGUGAAAUCCCGGGGCUCAACCCCGGAACUGCCUUUGAAACUGGAGAGCUAGAAUCUUGGAGAGGCGAGUGGAAUUCCGAGUGUAGAGGUGAAAUUCGUAGAUAUUCGGAAGAACACCAGUGGCGAAGGCGACUCGCUGGACAAGUAUUGACGCUGAGGUGCGAAAGCGUGGGGAGCAAACAGG